rnacentral:rRNA from 1 species
GCACAAGCAGCGGAGCGUGUGGUUUAAUUCGAUGUUACACGAAGAACUUACCAGGGUUUGACAUGCAGGUGGUAGGAAGCCGAAAGGUGACCGACCCUUCGGGGAGCUUGCACAGGUGCUGCAUGGCUGUCGUCAGCUCGUGUCGUGAGAUGUUCGGUUAAGUCCGCUAACGAGCGCAACCCUCGCUGUGUGUUAUAUGUGUCACACGGGACUGCCGGUCUUAAGCCGGAGGAAGGUGGGGAUGAUGUCAAGUCAGCAUGGCCUUUAUAUCCUGGGCUACACACACGCUACAAUGGCCAACACAAUAGGUUGCUAAGCCGCGAGGUGGCGCCAAUCCAUAAAGUUGGUCUCAGUUCAGAUUGUAGGCUGCAACCCGCCUGCAUGAAGAUGGAGUUGCUAGUAACCGCAGGUCAGCUAUACUGCGUUGAAUACGUUCCCGGGGUUU